GGAGGGAUGGCAGAGCGGCUGAAUGCACCGGUCUUGAAAACCGGCAAGGGUUAAUGCCCUUCUAGGGUUCAAAUCCCUAUCCCUCCACCA
rnacentral:tRNA from 2 species